rnacentral:rRNA from 1 species
CCUACGGGAGGCAGCAGUGAGGAAUAUUGGUCAAUGGGCGGGAGCCUGAACCAGCCAAGUCGCGUGAGGGAAGACGGUCCUACGGAUUGUAAACCUCUUUUGCCGGGGAGCAACGGGGUCCUUGCGAGGGCCCGAUGAGAGUACCCGGAGAAAAAGCAUCGGCUAACUACGUGCCAGCAGCCGCGGUAAUACGGAGGGGGCAAGCGUUACCCGGAUUUACUGGGUGUAAAGGGAGCGUAGGCGGCAGCGCAAGGCUGGAGUGAAACGCCGGGGCCCAACCCCGGAACUGCUCUGGAAACUGGGAGGCUGGAGUGCAGGAGAGGGAAGCGGAAUUCGCGGUGUAGCAGUGAAAUGCGUAGAUAUCGAGAGGAACACUCGUGGCGAAGGCGGGUUCCUGGACAUUAACUGACGCUGAGGCACGAAGGCCAGGGGAGCGAAAGGGAUUAGAUACCCCAGUAGUC